rnacentral:rRNA from 1 species
UACGUAGGGGGCGAGCGUUGUCCGGAGUUACUGGGCGUAAAGCGCGCGCAGGCGGUCACGUAAGUUUGCACUGACAGCUCCUGGCUUAACCGGGAGAGGCGUGUGAAAACUGCGUGACUUGAGGGCCUCAGAGGGACAUGGAAUUCCAGGUGGAGCGGUGAAAUGCGUAGAGAUCUGGAGGAACACCAAAGGCGAAGGCAGUGUCCUGGGAGGCACCUGACGCUCAGGCGCGAAAGCCAGGGGAGCCGGAACGGG